rnacentral:rRNA from 1 species
GAUCAUGGCUCAGGAUGAACGCUGACAGAAUGCUUAACACAUGCAAGUCGAUGGGGAAGUGGUGCUUGCACCAUCGUAACCAUGGCGGACGGGUGAGUAACGCGUAAGGAACUUGCCUGCGGGACUGGGAUAACAGCAGGAAACUGCUGAUAAUACCGGAUAAGGUCAUUAAGCUGCAUAGCUUAGUGAUGAAAGGAGACGCCUGCGGAGAGCCUUGCGU